rnacentral:tRNA from 1 species
GCCGCUGUAGCUUAGAGGGUCUGAGCGCCGGGCUGAAAAUCUGGAGGUGAUCGUUCGAUCCGAUCCGGCGGCA